UGGGGUGGGGCCCGGGCCUCCUGAUUCAAGCUCUCCUCCUUCUCCUUGGAGAGGCGGGCUGCGGAGGAGAAAGGAAACACAUCUUACCUGGGACCAUGAUACCAUCCCUGCCAGGACGCUCAGCGGAGCAGCCAGAGCGACACACGUGGGCUGUGACCGUGAGCAAGUCACUCGCCGUCUCUGGCAAACUGGCAUGGUUGGACUCAGGAGCAACAAAUGUGAUUUCUGUCCUUUAUGAGCGCGAGUGAUGGCUGCUUCCGUGCCGAACUGACAAGAUUCUGACCCAAGCUUGGAAGGAUGUGACAAGCAGCAGCACUGGUCAGCGGAGUCUGCGGUGGGCUAUUCUGGCCGCCCUCCAACGAGCUGAUCCGCAAAGUCCUGUGUAACGUAGCUGUCCGUGAAUCUGCCUGCAGCUCUGCUCCAGGGGCCUGCUGGUGACCGUGUUUGUGAGCCUACCCUCACAGGCUGUUCCCCAGCAAACCCUCAGUCCUAUCCUCUCUGACCCCAGGAACCUGCAGCCCAGGAGGGGCUGACCCUGAGCCCUGAGCCCUGAGCCCUGAGCCCUGAGCCACAGAGCGGAGCACGCACAGACAGGGCUGCCUGGGUCUCCAGGCAAGAAGAAUGGGGAGGGCCACUCUCUCAGCCAGGCCACAUGCCCAGGGCUUUCUGUCUGUCGUUGCAAAGAAGGAGAGAGAGGAGAGACAGAGAUGCGGGGACGUAGCGUCCUCACAGCUGCACAGCCCGGGGAAGGGGGCAGCAGCUCGACUGAAAGAACCAAGUGCCGCCACGGGAUCGAUGCCGGCUUCCAGGCCGCUCUGCCCCGCGAGCACUGGGCGACUCCGGGAAGCCCGCGUGCCCCCUGACCUCAGUGUCUCUUCUCGAGAAAGGCGACACCGUGACAUGCAGCACUCCCGUGAGAGUCCAUUAGACAAGAUGUUCGCAGGGGCUCAGGCAGCUGCCAAGGGCUGCCCCCAUCUUGUGUCAGCAUGGAGUCUCCUGCCUUUGAAUCCUUGUCCCUCGCCGCAGAGCGUGGACCUUGCUGCAGGGCCCUUAGCUUCUCUGUACGCAGGUUCGUCACCUGUAGAUUCUUCCGCAGUUGUCAGCAGAGCAAAUUCAUGAAUGCGCUUAAACCAGUGCCGGCAGCAAACAGUCAAUGCACGUUUUCGCCAGAACGGCCACAGCCACCAUGAUGCUUGCUGGUCAGUUAACAUCAGCGGCCGAGAGCGGCUGCCCUACCCGGGAAGGUCCCUUGUUCCCUUGCACCUGCGUCAGAAGGUCUCCCCCCGCCCCCAGGCCCUUACACAGACGGCAGAGAGGAACCUGAGAAGGUGCAAUCGGGCAGCUGGGUAGCGAAGCAGGAAACAAACAGGCCUGGAGUCCCCCUUGCCCCGUCUCCCAAGCCCUUGCCGGCAGCCUGCACCCAGCAGAGCCACCCAGCGCACGGGCUGCCUCCUUCACCCCCAGCACCCUGCACCCGUGCCCUUCACGGAGCGCUGCAGUCCUGCUGAGCACCACGGAGCUGGGGCUCCCCAGGCUCCAGGCCCGGCGCCGAGGGAUUCUGUCGGCACUGGGCUGCGGGGUGCUGGUGAGAAAACCAAGCUUCCCUCACACCCUCACCACACAGCCGCUGAGGAGGGCGGGCCAGCUGUGGGUCCCCCGUCCCCCACUCUCUCACACACACCCGAGGUGGGGGCCCUGGAAAGGAAACGCCCUUCCCAGGGCAGGGGAGAGCUCCGGGCACAGGCAACGACUCUACUGCGCGAGGAGGAAUCCCUGGGCAGCCUUGCGGAACGGCGUGGAACACAGCGUGGAACACAGCGUGGGAACAAAGGGUCUCCCUGAAGCUCCUCCCGGAUGGAGUCUCGGGUGGAAAGUCAGGGCGCUCUCUGAGCCGGACCGCACCCCAGGGCACACCUGCAGGCUGCCACCACGAGGGCCACCUCGGCCCCCCUCGGCUCCCCUCCACCCCACCGCACCCCCGUGCACUGGGCUUCCCUGGGGUGACCGCCCGCGGCGUCCCCAGUGCUGGUUCCCUCGUGUGGCCUUUCCCCUCUCCCUCUCUCUCUGCAGCCGGAUCAUCUCCUUAGCAUCAAUCUCCUCUGACCUCGCCCGGCCUGCACAUCACAUAAUCCUGUUAGGACAAGUAGGCCAGCGGGCGGCUGCUGGGGCUCUGGGCUUUCUCCUCAGGGCUCGGCUGGCACCGUGACUCCUCUGCAAGUGGCCAAGCUGCCGCCACCAGGCGCAGGCCGGGCGCGCCCACCCCUGCCGGCCAGGAGCCACCCGGUGCUGCGGCCUGUGCUCUGUGACCACCGAGGGUCUCUUUCUGGAGCCCACACUCAGGGCAUUGAGGAAUUUCCGGAACCACCCCCCACCCCUGUACAAUAUGCGAGCGCUGGUUUUAAACACCUGGUGGCCCAGGCUGCCUCUGAGGCCCCUACAUUGGUGCCAACCGGAAGGUCAGCCAGGGUCCUCCUGUGGCUCGUGGGCCCUCCUGCCCAGGCUCUCCUGAGGGGCCUUGUGCCUGGGCCCCAGCGAGGCGGGGCCCAAGGAGAGCAGGAGGCCGGCAGAGGCCUCAGAUGCCCGCUGGGGUGGCUCUUGGCAGGGUGGGGGGCGAGUCGCGAGCGCUGCUGUCAUCUGCCAAGGGGGACAUCAGCCCCUGGUGCGCGGGAGACCUUGACCUUUUCUUCACCACCCCCACAAGUGUCCUGGCAGCUCCCAGAGUUCUUGGCUGGGGGAGGGGAAUUCCUAGGAUCCCCCCUUCCUAGCCGAAUGUGGAGCAAAAGGAAGGACCACUCGGUGCCUCUGGGGGCAGCGCCCCUAGAAGCAGCCCUGGCCAGUCAGCACCCCUCCCUGGCUGGAGUCUCUGCGGGACACGGGGGCCGACUCGUGGGCAGGCAACUUCGCAGGGAACUCUGAGGACAGCCCCACACCCAGGCUCCCGGGCAUGCGGCACUCGUGGCCGACCUGCAGCUGAGCCCCUUCACUCGCAGGGAGGGGUGCCGAGGCAGGGAAGUCAUGGGGUGCGGGUACCUGCCCACUUCAGCUUCCAUAUUCCAGGUAUCCUGCUCUCGGGGAGUGCCCCGGGCCCCAUCUCGCGGACUGCCUGGCUUUUACCACCCACCCUUGGCUCUGCUAACUCUCUCUUCCCACCACCAACCUGCUGCAUUGCAGCUCUGCAGGGAGAAGGAGUGGACGGGGCAGAGCACGUGGGUCGGGGCGGCCUUGCUUACCUUCCCCCAUGGGGUCCAGGCUGUGGAUCAUGAGCUGGUAGAUGGUGCUGCGGAUCGUGCUGUUGUGCAGGGAAGCCGAGCUGCUCCCUCGGGUCAGCAUGGACGGGAGCUGGGCAAGGGGAAAGCCGCAGGCCUCAGUGGGUCCCUGCCCGAGCCCGGGGAGGAGCCGCACAAGGGCCUCCCUGCCCUUGCCUCUUUCCCAUAGAGAUCAUGGAGAACCUCCCCUCUUCCUUUGCCUCCAGCCAGGAGAGUCCCCCUGUGUGCUCAGCGGUCCCCAAAGUCUCCACAAGGAGCCAGCAGACCACGUGCACCAGGGACUGCACGCUGGCCAGGGUGUGCACCUCCUCCAAGUGCGCCUCACACCACACAGACCCACUGCACGUGACCAGCCCCAGAGGGCCCUGCCCAGCGUUUACCACUGGCACGCCCCCGGGGAGAAGCGAGGCUGUGGUCCCAGCCAUGGAAAAGGCAAGGAAGCUCACGCGGGGAGGAAAUCAAAGUGUCGGCCCAGCGCCCAGGUCUUCCAGGUCCCAAGCUCACAUGUAUCUGCACUGCAUGGACACACACACUUACUACACACACUGUACGGACACACGCACACUUAUCACACACACUGUAUGGACACACGCACACUUAUCACACACUAUAUGGACACACACACUUAUCACACACACUGUACAGGCACACACACUUAUCCACAGUGACUCGUGGAGGAAUCUCAGCUGAUUUACAGGGGACCAUCCAAAGCCAACCCCUGGGCACCUGCUCCACCCUCCCCCUCCUCUCGCCUCCCGCCCCUCCGGCCCUCUGGAGCUGAACGCCUCUGCCAUCUAGUGGCCGUGGUGAUACAGAACUUCCAAACCAACGGGACAUUACCUUGGCACAGAGACUGGGCCCCAGGCUCUCGUGUCAGAGUUCCCCACAAUUCUUCCCAGACACUCUGCACGCCAGCCAGCUAAGACAUGGUUUUCUGGAAAACUCAGCCCCCUACCCACUCCCGUGCUCUCCCUGUCUUUCCCUCGGUGCCUGGGCAUUCCAAAGCCACAGAAUUUAAAUCAAGCAGUCACACGAUGUGAGGGCUGUACACCAGGGAUUGAGUUCAUCUGGUCUGGUCACUUCACAGACGCAGAGUCACUCAGCAAGCCGUGACAUUGCAGACUUCCUCCUGAGCGAGCACCGGAGGGGAAUCCUCAGGUUGGGACACAGAAAUACGCCCACAGAGAACCGGGUCUCAGCAGGCGUGUCAAGGCGCCCAGCCCCGCCUUGUGCGUUACACCUGCGUGCCUCGCUCCUGCCGGCGAGCAGCGAUGUGCAGGCUGGCCCAGCAACAGCACUGACUUCCCGCGCCUCGCACGCGCCACCCUCUUCACCCCAGGGCUCCUUCCCCUGCCUCCAGGGGUGGGGUGGGGGGCUCUGUGCAGUGCUCUGCCACAGUCCCCUCUGCUUUCCCUCAUAGCACGUCCUCCGGUUUCCUUGUGUGUGUUCACACACACACAGGUUGACGCCCCUAGCAUCUGGAAGGCAGGGAAACACCACUGAGCCGUCAGCAAGGCUCGGCCAUCACUGUCCUCUAAAUAAACUUAAGUUACUCCAACACCUGUUGCUUUGUUCAUGCCUAUUCCAACGCCUAAAAUGCCUUCUCCAUUCCUCUGCACUUUGCUUUUUUCCAGAAAAUCCAGGGUGAAUUCCUGCAGUUUUCCCAAAUGUCCCCUUCCACCGCCAUCCCACCUGCACUCCCGUUCACUACAACAUGGUUCCCCUGGAGCG